UGCAUUUUAUUUUUAACUCUAUUUGUUGUUGUUUCUCUUUUUUUUAUUCUUUUUUAUGUUAUUUUUGUAAAAUAUUUUGAUUUUUUGAAUUUUGAAGAGGAUUUUAAGAUUUGUUUUUUGAACUGGAUUAGUACCCAGGUAAUCAAAAUUUAUUAAUGCGGGAGUAAAGUUUUGUUUAAACCGAAAAAAUAUUGACUGACUUUAGAUUUUUCUUUGGAAUAUGUAUUUUGGAAGGCCCUCCUUUGUAGUAGAUUUUAUGGGCACAUGUAUGAUUGUUUAGUUUUUUAUUUUUUUUUGUAAUGCAUUUUUUAAACUUUUGUGUUGAAAAACAGAUAGAUAUUUGGCUUAUGAAUUUAUUUAUAUGUGUUACUAUUAUAAAUUUUUUUUGGAUAUUUUAUUUAAUUUUUUAUUGAAAUUGGAAAAGAAAGUAAUGUAAUUUUUGAUGUUUUUGUGAAUUUAAUAAG
rnacentral:rRNA from 1 species